rnacentral:rRNA from 1 species
CCUACGGGCGGCUGCAGUGGGGAAUAUUGGACAAUGGGGGCAACCCUGAUCCAGCCAUGCCGCGUGUGUGAAGAAGGCCCUCGGGUUGUAAAGCACUUUCAGUGAGGAAGAACGCCUGGUGGUUAAUACCCAUCAGGAAAGACAUCACUCACAGAAGAAGCACCGGCUAACUCCGUGCCAGCAGCCGCGGUAAUACGGAGGGUGCGAGCGUUAAUCGGAAUUACUGGGCGUAAAGCGCGCGUAGGUGGCUUGAUAAGCCGGUUGUGAAAGCCCCGGGCUCAACCUGGGAACGGCAUCCGGAACUGUCAAGCUAGAGUGCAGGAGAGGAAGGUAGAAUUCCCGGUGUAGCGGUGAAAUGCGUAGAGAUCGGGAGGAAUACCAGUGGCGAAGGCGGCCUUCUGGACUGACACUGACACUGAGGUGCGAAAGCGUGGGUAGCAAACAGGAUUAGAUACCCCAGUAGUC